rnacentral:rRNA from 1 species
UGGGGAAUAUUGCACAAUGGGCGCAAGCCUGAUGCAGCCAUGCCGCGUGUGUGAAGAAGGCCUUCGGUUGUAAGCACUUUCAGCGAGGAGGAAGGUGGUGAGCUUAAUACGCUCAUCAAUUGACGUUACUCGCAGAAGAAGCACCGGCUAACUCCGUGCCAGCAGCCGCGGUAAUACGGAGGGUGCAAGCGUUAAUCGGAAUUACUGGGCGUAAAGCGCACGCAGGCGGUUUGUUAAGUCAGAUGUGAAAUCCCCGGGCUCAACCUGGGAACUGCAUUUGAAACUGGCAAGCUAGAGUCUCGUAGAGGGGGGUAGAAUUCCAGGUGUAGCGGUGAAAUGCGUAGAGAUCUGGAGGAAUACCGGUGGCGAAGGCGGCCCCCUGGACGAAGACUGACGCUCAGGUGCGAAAGCGUGGGGCAGCAAACAGGAUUAGAUACCCUGGUAGUCACGCUGUAAACGAUGUCGAUUUUGGAGGUUGUGCCCUUGAGGCGUGGCUUCCGGAGCUAACGCGUUAAUCGACCGCCUGGGGAGUACGGCCGCAAGGUU